AACGAACGCUGGCGGCAGGCCUAACACAUGCAAGUCGAGCGAGAUCUUCGGGUCUAGCGGCGGACGGGUGAGUAACGCGUGGGAAUAUGCCCUUCUCUACGGAAUAGCCUCGGGAAACUGAGAGUAAUACCGUAUACGCCCUUUGGGGGAAAGAUUUAUCGGAGAAGGAUUAGCCCGCGUUGGAUUAGGUAGUUGGUGGGGUAAUGGCCUACCAAGCCGACGAUCCAUAGCUGGUUUGAGAGGAUGAUCAGCCACACUGGGACUGAGACACGGCCCAGACUCCUACGGGAGGCAGCAGUGGGGAAUCUUAGACAAUGGGGGCAACCCUGAUCUAGCCAUGCCGCGUGAGUGAUGAAGGCCCUAGGGUUGUAAAGCUCUUUCAGCUGGGAAGAUAAUGACGGUACCAGCAGAAGAAGCCCCGGCUAACUCCGUGCCAGCCGCCGCCGUAAUAC
rnacentral:rRNA from 1 species